UGAAUUCAGACACUUGAUUUAAUCUCCCUAAAUUCCUUCUAUGACAACUGCACUAAGAUACAGUACUGCAGAAGGUUGGACUGUGUGCUCACUGAAGUAACUCACUUUUUCUGCCAAUAUGCUUAUUCCUAGUGAUUUCGGCAAAACUAGCAGGAUCUUGAAUGUUAUGCUGUGCACAUUUCCCAGGCCACAGCAAAGAAAAUGCCUGAGAUACUUGGGUCAGCUGUGUUAUCUUAGAUAACAGUAAAAACCAGAGUGAAUUCUGCAACACCGAUAAAAUUUAUCGGGCGUGUACCAUGAAAAAGGCAAAUUCAACUGUGUCUUGGUGCUUGCUUCCUGCAGGCUGUCAUAAUCAGGACAAAUCAAGCAGAGCAGAUGAAGGUGGGAGCACACAGACACUGGGAUGACACUGGGAAAAACUGACCAUCUCAGGAACUUACCCAGGAUGUCAGAUUAAAGAAAUGGGGAAGAAUUAAAACUGGGUAGGGAAGCAGCUGGCAUGAAGAUUCCUUCCACAGAAGAUAGAAGAGCCGGGAACAAAUUGCCCACCGACGACUGAGAACUAGCGAGAAGAUCUUUUUGGCAACAAGCCCUUGCAAAAGGAAAUUGAAAUUAAAAAGCUUUUUGGUUUAUCUCAUUUCAAGUAGAACUUUUCUGUUCAAUUCACACAGAAGGAAAUGUCUGCGGCACUCAGAGAAUUUGAUCUAAUUUUUAAUACAAUCAGAUAAAAGAUGUUGUAUGUUUUAUGAUUUCCAAAGUCUUGCUGAUUACUGAUUAAUCAGACUGAAAUUUCUAAUCAAUAAUUAUUACCAGUUCAGACUGCCUGUCUAAAUUACUGAUGUCUGAUUACUCAGGGAGUAAUCAUUGCCCUUCAAUAUAUUUUCAUGGUCCAGCAGGCACAGAGAUACUUCCUCCGUUCUUGCUUAGCUCUUUGCAGACCUCAGUUCCCUUAUUUCAGCUCAGUUUUAUUUGAGCUUCAGUAGGAAAAUUAGUUCCUCUCUUGCAUUUUGCUGUAUCCUAUCCAUCCUUUGUAGCUACAAACUCUUGUUAAUAUUGUCAUCUUCAUACCAUAUUUUGCUUAAAAUUUGCCUGAAAAUGAAUCCUGGUGGUAAUAGCUUUUGAACAUUUUAGCAGGAACUGAAAUCUCUCAGCAUUUGAACUAAGAAUAUCCGACAUAGCACCAGUAUUGAGUGAAAUAAUGAAGAAAGAGCUGAUUUCAGUCAAACAACUACUAUUUUGAGCAUUUUAAUUUUGGAAACAAUUACCCCAGAUGUCUAAAUAUGAGCUGUAAUUUGUGAGGCCCAUGAAGGCAAAUGCCAUUUCUUGCCCUAGCAUCAUUGCUGUUUCCGGUGAGAAACUGGAGAGUUCUUUCCUUGAUUGUUGCCCUGAAGGGCAUAAUAUGCUCUUUUAUUUAUUUAUUUUUUCUUUCUUUCAUUUCUUCCCCCUCAAUAUUGCCAGAUGAAUGUGUCUGACAGGAUCUGCUCUUGAAUGCUGCAGCCGCUUCAUAAAUCAGACAGGUUAGCAGCCUGCAUUACAAACCGAUCCUUGAGACAUAACCUGUUGCAGCUGAGACUUUUUCAAUUCUUAUUUGGCAGCAGUGACAGCAACGAUAACAUGCCAGCUUGCUCCCUGUCUGGCUGCUGAACAGAAGAGGCUUCCACUUACAAAAAGUGGAAUGGACAAAGUGAAUGUUACUGGUAUACACUUUUUUCCUCUUCGUUGAGACUGCACAAGCUGAAGUACAGAAGUCAGAAAGAUGAAAAAGGACAGUUAGGGAAACUAAACACCAGAGUGUGUGAACCUGGCAUUUGCUGAUUUGUCAGGGAAGCCACACAGGAAUCACAGGAAAUUGUGCUUCAUGGAUUUUGCUUAUUUUAAUUUCAUCUCUAAAUGUGUGUAUAAGUACAGGACAGCAUUUGCUCUUCUAGCGAAUCAGCUGCUGUACAGUUUUUAAUCCUUAGUUCAAAAUGUGGGCAAAUUUCCUCAUCACUGAGAAUGAGACUUCAGUGAAAUGUAACAGUGAAAGGCCUACGUUCUCAGAAGUCAUGGGCCAUUUGCAGUGCCUUUUGGGUUUUGAACUGUUUAUUUCUUAAGGGAGGCAAUGGGCACUUUCUAGGUGGCCUGCUUUUCAAAGGUAUCUAAAGCUACACAAACAACAAAACAUUUCAAAUCAUUGAGCAUUUUAAGUGUGAGAUGAAUUAGAAGCCAUGCUGAGCAAGAAAAUGAAUUCUCACAAGUUGAGGGAUGUCACUGAUCCACUACAUUCUUCCAAUCAUGUUAAUAUGGGGAAGUUGAGGAAUUCUCAAAUGAACUUUGCUGAAAUCUUUCAGUGUCCACAGAAUUUAAUUUUUCUGCAUCUAUAUUUAUGCUAGUACUAUACCAAGCAUGGUACGGGUCUUUUUAUAGCAAGGAACAUCUAAAGAUAUUUGAUGAUAAUUGAUGCAGAAUGGCAACAUUUAUAGCAAGAAUUUGUUUUUAAUGCCAAUGGAUGUCAAAAUUAACCAUAACAGGUUAUAAGAUCUUGCAAGAUCACGAGCCUUUGCACCAAAAUACAUUUUUUAAAGUUUUGAGCAUCACUUUCAAUUAUCAUAAACUGCUCAGCACAACCAAAUUGAAAUCUAGAAAAGAGGCCUAAAACCUAGAGCAGAGAAGAAAGAUCAUGACUGUGGAAGAGAAAGAAAGAGCAGGUUUAUCCUCGGCACUGAGCUCCACUUGAUGUGUGCCUGUGAGGUUCCAGGAUGCUGCAAGCAUUUUGCUAGAGAAGAGAGAGAGAGAAACCUCUUUAAUCCUUUUGCAGGAGAGUAACGGCAGGAUCUCGGUACAUGAACUCUUGCAAGAACACUUUAGCUCUUUGGGUAUUCUUCAGGUGAGACAAAGUGGACCUGCCUAGGCUUUAGGCAGAACUGGGCAGCCACCAGCUGGGGAGAUAUGGGGAUUACAUUUUCAGCUCUCAGGACUCAAUAACUCUGAGAUGUGGUUUUAUUAAACAGUGCAGCUGUGGUACCAUGAAGUAGACCGCUCAUCUAGGUAACUAAGUUGCCAUCAUUACAUACUAAUGACAGUGAUGAUAUUACAGCUAAUUUGAACCAGUAAUUAUCUUUAUCUGCUGAAAACCUUCAGAGCUACAAUAAUACCUUUGUUUCAGUGUAGGGGCUUUGAGGCAUAGGAUAAAUUAUUUCCCUCAAGGGGUAACUGUGUGAGAGCUCUUCACAAAAUCAUCUCUCUGAGCUGUUGCAUGCACUUUGGAUUCAUCUAAGCCCUUGCAUUUGCUGUGGGCUAAGAAAUGUGAAUUAACAUGGCAUCCAACAGUGCCAACAAUUGCUGUUCCGAGUUGUAAUUUCACACUAUUUCCCUUCAGAAAAAGAAGCAACGAAAGUCCUAGUUCUGUGACCUUACUGCUAAAGCAUCCCUCAACCCUGCUGUGUAAUGGUGGCUUUCAAAUAGCUGUGUCUGCAUUUUCCUGUAUGAAAUAUUCAGGCCUAGUGGAUCCAGAUGUGUGAGACAUUGCAUCAAAACACGCCAUGCUGCUGCCUAUAUUGAGCAAAUCUUUAUUUUAUGAUUUUUCACUCAAAGAACAAAUUUCCAUGACAGAAUUUUGAAGUGUUUCUAUAAACGGAAUGGGAUUUUUUAAUGGUGUGAAAUUGCUCCUACUUUAUCCGAAAAAGAUUCAUUAAGAGGAAUAAGGGAAUGUUAACAACAUUUUCUGCUUCGUAUCUGUAUUAAUCCAUAAAGUCAGCUCUUCUCUAUUGUGUGACAGAACUGCACAGCUACAUCUGUUUCAUUUUGAAGCUGUGUUCAUCCCUGCUGCAUUGCAACAAAGCACAGCUAUGGACCAGCUGCCCCUAUAGUACUAAAAAAAUCCUGUUAGCAUUUAACAGUUACACCCUGCCUCUAAAGAUCAGACUUCAACAGACCUUGUCUGCUUCACCCUACUGGUAUCUCAGAGUGCCCUAAGAAACUAUAAUCGUAGAACUGGGCGUGUGGCAUUAAUAGCUAGCCCUUUUAAUUCUUCAGUGCUUUUUAUUUCUCGAACAGUUGGAGAUCAAAAGUUUAUGUCAAGUGAUCUUUUUCACAGACAAACAGUACUCAUAUUUUUUUUGUUUCUUCAAUAAGUGUUAAAAAUGAACAUUAAUGCACAUGAAGCAUGAUAUUUCCUUUUUCCCUUUUGCCUGGACUAGAGGAGUGUGAAUGAUACAAAGAAAGCUUUUGUUGGAAAAUGAUAGUUUACCAUAACAUGACUUAUAGUACUAUAAUUGCAAAGAUUACAGCACUGGACACGAGCAAAAAUUUCUUUGUGCAGCUGGGAAUGCUUUGUGCUUUUUUCAGCUGGGAGUCCCAAGCAGAAUGAGCUACAAAAAAAUGUUUCUAUCAAUUUUGAGCUAAGAAAGAAAAUGAAUAUUCUAUUGCUGAGGAAUAAAUGCAAUCUGGGAAUUUAAAAUUCCACAUGUAAAUAGUUUGCUUAGCUGUUUCACACGUUACAUGAAACACAGGCUUGGAGAUGGUGAAGGUCCUGCUCUGGAAGUUGGAAAUGUGUUCAUGUGUGUGUGUUAAAACUUGGCAUUGAAAUCAUAGUCUCAGCUGUGCCUUUAUCUUUUCUAAUAAAAGACAUUUGCAACUGAGUAGUCUUUUUUUUUUUUUUUCCCUCUCCAUCAUUAAGAAUGAUGGGUAUUUAAACAAGAGCUUAGAAAUAGUCCCUUACAAGCAGAAGAGUAGCUGUAGCUAUACCAGCAGGGACAGAGCCAUCUCAGCAAAGGAGGUUCCAGGUGGUAAUGGAUGCUUCAGUCCUUGCUUUCUACAUCCUGCCUCCAUGUAUAGCACAGAUAGAAUAAUCACUUCGAGCUCAUGGCCAUUCAAAACUGAAAGACAGCUAAUGCCACUAUUUAGCAACCUAGCAUUAGGAAGCUAUACAUUUGCACCCAAUUUUUGUGUUUUUCAUUUCCAAUGCUCAAUAUUGUUUGUGAUAUUUGGGAAUCUAUCCCACAUUUGUGCAAAUAGAGUUUUCAUUGGGAAAAAAAUAAAUAAAUAAGGCUACAACUUCCACACGUCUGAACAUCACAACAUUUAUCCAGCAGAAGCUUUUUGCAAGAUUGCCCCAGCAGAAGAACCCAUUUCAGCUCAGUCUUCCUCCAGCCUCCUGCCAGAACACUUCCCUACAAAUCCAGUGCCAUGUCCAAGCUGGCCGUGGAGUUAACCACCAGGGCAUAGUUCAAGACUGCCACUAACACAGAAGAAGCUUGGUGUGUCCCUGUACUACUGCUGUUAAAUCCUGAUUUUCUGCAAGAAUGUUUAGUCCCACUGUUCUCAUCUAGAAUUCCCUCUUUUCCUCUGUUUAAUUAUGUAAGACGAUGCUUGUUUCUUCUACAGAUAUUAUAUGUCAUUGUAAAACUUGACAGGGAAUGGAGCUUCCACAGAUAAUUACUUAAUGAGGUGGAAGAACUAGAGAUGAAAAAAAAAAAAAAAAAAAAAA